rnacentral:lncRNA from 1 species
CACAAAAAUGAGAGCAAGAUAGGUACCCAUCAAACAUAAUGACAGCAUUUAACUGCUUAAACUCUGUAAAUGUUCUAACUGCUGUUGGAUAGCAAAGGAGUUAGUGUUUCUAGCUUUGUCAGUUAACACAAUUCGAAUUGAGUCAGAUUCUCAUUGGCAUCUAUGAUCUGUACCCAGUUUCUGGAACAGUCUUCUCCUGGAGAACAUUUUCAAACCAACAUUUGGCAUCAUUGGAAUGUUUUAAACCCAACUGUCAAUGUUUUUCAUAGUACGGCCAUUGACUUCUGGAAGAUUCCAGCUGUCUUAGAGACUCUGAGACUCCCAGGGCAUUAGACCAAUGCCAGGUGGAUUGGAUCCUGUAGACCUAGAACCCUGAGAACCAGGAUGUAUGACUGAGAAGGAACUGUUUCUGCCGGUAUAGACACAGGCAGGUAUCUGUGCAAUUUGAGGUUAGAAUUGUUAGACUUCAUUGAACCAACUCAUUGAAAACAAUACACCGGCUUGUACCUGUGGAGUCACAGAUUCAGUGUAAGGAGGAAUAACCUGUUCAAGAAGGUUUUUUCAGUUUUUUGUUUGUUUUGUUGUUGUUGUUUGUUUGUUUUUUGUCUUUUUGUCGUUUCUUGGGAACCCGUGGCAUAUGGAGGUUCCCAGGCUAGGGGUCGAAUCAGAGCUGUAGCCACCGGGCUACACCAGAGCCACAGCAACACGGGAUCUGAGCCACGUCUGCGACCUACACCACAGCUCACAGCAACGCUGAAUCCUUAACCCACUGAGCAAGGCCAGGGAUCGAACCUGCAACCUCAUGGUUCCUAGUUGGAGUUGUUUCCACUGUGCCACGAUGGGAGCUCCUUGUUCAAGAAGUUUUAGUCUCCUGCAGAUGGUGUGUGUAAAUGUUUCAUAUCUGGCUUUCCAUGCAGGGCGUGUGUGUGUGUGUGUGUGUGUGUGUGUGUUGCCAGAGGCACGGGUACUUAAUUUGUAGCCUUUGCCCAUUUCCAUGAUCUUCAUGCCCACAGAGUGACCAGUUGCCAGCCACCAAGUUGGGCGGAGAUGCACCCAGUCACCUGUCGUUGUUCCAUCACACCCGUGCCGAAGUUCAGAAGCAUCAGUCUGUGUCAUUUAAUGACAGUCACCACUGUCAUUACAAGUGGAACUUCUCCCUCCCACCAUGUGACAACUGCUUUAGAAGCAGACCUAACACGUGGCUUCUCCUCCAUCUGCGAGCUCUGACUUUUAAAUCCUAAAGACUUUGUUAUUUAAAAGAAGAGUCGCCCACGAUACCACUCUCUGUAGUAAAGAUCACCCAGUCCCUUGUAUGUCCUGGUUGCUCUCAGCAGAAAAUGAAAUGGUUACGGGUCAACAGAACUCACUUGUAGGAGUGGAAGCACAACCUUCAGCGUAGAAAGUUGUUUGGAGGCGUGUUUUGUCUUGGACUUUAGUAUUGGAGCUGUUCCAAAAACUGAAAACACGCCAAGAAACACUCCUUACCGUUAGAUAAAAGCCUGGUGGAAACGAAGGUCUCAUGGCAGUUCCAGAAUGUCUCCACUUGCCUAUUUGUGGCGAUAGUAGAACUCUAGUAUAUUCACAAGUCAGCUCCCGGCCCACCUCCCGUCUGUAGCCCAGACCUGUGCGUGCCUUUUGAACCCCUGGGUAUACACGUUUCUCCUGUCUUCAGUCUCUGGGGAGAAGGUUGUUUGUAAAGCAAAAGGGCAUUCCGUUCUCGAUGCCAAAAUGCCCAAGUGGCUUGGUUCCUGCACAUAGAACCAAUGCCAUGGGCGAGGCUUGGAAAAACCAGUUCCUUUCGCAUUAACUGAGGACCGCCUGCUUUGUCCCUCCCCUGAACCUCAGGGAAGAAAGCAGACGGAUCCCUCGUCAUUCCAGUCAUGACACGGCUAAUUUUUGCUCUGAGUCGCGGGUAACAUUCACAGGAACACAGUGUCACUCCUGGUGGAUGCGCUGCCCUCUGCACGGUACCGAAUAACACUAGCAAUGGAAACGUCGUCGUCCGCUCUCAGCGCCUCUGCCAGUGAGUCGUGUGUGUUUACUCAGUAAGUAGGUGAUGGGCUUUCUGCGAUGAGGCAUCAUGGAUGGAGUCUGUCCACAUGAAUUAAGAUGAAGCCAGUAUCAUCUGACUGUAGCUGGUUAGGGGUUGGAGAUGCUCACACAUGUUUAAACUGUAAGAAAUUUUUAGUUUCAUUUUAUCACUGGAAGAGAACUUAAGUUCAAAUAAGCCAUCACCAUGGUGCUAGUAAAAUUUUUUCUUGUUAAUUUUAUUGGUUGGUUGGUUGGUUGGUUGGUUCUUGGCCGCACUCGCAGCCAUGUAGAAGUUCCCUGGCCAGUGAUCGAACCCACACCACGGUUGCAGCCUGUGCCACAGCUGCAGCAAUGCCAGAUCCUUAACCCGCUGUGCCACCCGGGAACUUGUCUUGGCUGGUUGGUUUAAUGUAUAUAAUAAUCCCAGUUGAUGAACACAUCUCUAAGUAAAUGAGUUUUAUAUACCACAUGCCUGAGGUCAUUCUCAAGACUUAUUUCUUCCCCGAGUUUUUCCCUGACAGUAGCAGUUAGUGACAGUGUGACCCAGUCAUCUUAAUUGCUAUAAGUUUGCACAGCUCUUCUGCAUCGCUCUUGGCUAAUGAAUUAGAUUCUUACGUGGCUGACAUAGCGUGUCCAUGACAAGGUGACAGUGUAGAGAAGGACAGGAAGGAGAGGGAAGAAUGAAGAGGGACGUAAACUUUUGUCAGCACGCUAAGACACACGAACGUAACAUCCCAGCCUUUGUCCCAGGAAAAUGGGCCCAGUGAUGAGAACAUACAGAGCACCUCUGGGUCAUUUGCCCUAAUAUUAUGAUUUGUAAUCCUCGACUAUUAAAAAAAAUCGAUGGCAGAAAGUGAGGUGUGAGUGACGUUCUGAAGCGUCACAGCAAAGAGGCUUUUUGUCAAUCUUACAGUCAGACCUCCAGCCCAGUCCACUGGGCGGUUCUAGAAAACAGCUAAGUUACCUUUGACACCUAGAGUUGUAAGCUCCACAUAUGGAUGAAAAUGUGUUGAAGAAAUCUUGUUGCUUCACUCUUGGGGCUCCCUGACUCCCAUCACGGUGUUACCCACAAACUUUGCAUUUGAAACACAGUGAAGCAGUGGCUCUCCUUGGUGGCAAGGGAUACGUUGACAGCUUAGCUGUUCCUCUGGGAGACCUGUCCCCUGCAGGUCCCUAGAGGAUAUGUUGUUAGCAAGUGAAAAGCUCUUCAAAGAAUCACAUAUCCACAGAAAUCUGCCCCAUGGAAUAGUGUCACAGCCCAGAACACCCUCACUGGAGUUUUUGGAAGACAGACCCCCCCAAAUUCCAGAAGGCGUGGUCAGGGCUGGGCGUCUGCAGGGUGUGCCGGUGUAGGCUCAUGAUUUCCAAAGGCCGGGCGAGCCAAAGCCAAGACCCGGGCUCUGUUUCUCUCUCGUGGGUUAUGAAUGGAAGCCAGAGCAAGAGGCGUGGUUCACGUGGAGAACCACCAGGUGGCAGUGUGGAGAACGAGAGAGCGUUUCUGUCUCCUGGGAGAGGGAUGCUGGUUUAAACUGUUCUCGUCUGUAAAGGACUUUCUUUAACCUGUAAGCUCAGUGAUCAGGAAGGAAAAGGCAAAACACCUGCUUACUUCCAAUGGCGGAUCUAGCCUUUUCAAGCUUGUAGUACUGUGAUUUGGUAAUGUUUCUGAAGCUACCUGAAACCCAUUUAUUUAUAAACUGUAUUUUCAGGAGAGAUUGAAAUAAUUGUUGAAUUAUACGGCAUGAGAAGGAGAAAGAGGCAGGGAGAUCUUAGUAAAAAUUAAAUAUUAAGUUGGAACGGGACCAGGGAGAGCAUCAGAAGAUAAGAAAGGUACAGUGGAUGUUUUAACCAAAUGCUAGCCUAACCCAUUCAUCAAAGGAAAGAACAUGAGUUCUUUUUUCUUAUUUUUUCUUUUUUUCUGCUAUUUUAGGGCCACACCCGCAGCAUAUGGAGGUUCCCAGGCUAGGGGUUGAAUUGGAGCUGUAGCCGCUGGCCUAUGCCACAGCCAUAGCAACCUACGUGUCUGCAGCCUACACCACAGCUCAGGGCAACUCCAAAUCCUUAACCCACUGAGCGAGGCCAGGGAUCAGUCCUGCAUCCUCAUGGAUCCUGGUCAGGUUGGUUAACCACUGAGCCAUGACGGGAACUCCAAGAACAUUAUGUCUUAAUCACAGUGUAACCAGAUGGAGCCAUAUGAAAUUGCUGAUAUUCAGCAUCGUUGACCUAGAAAUGAUCAUGGCAUGUGGUUCAGCUUAAAUAAAACUAGAAACUAUUGGAAACGGUAAAUUUGUAAAAUAUGUAAAAGCAUACUAAAUUAUUCCAUGAUCUAAUCAGGAUGGUAGAUAAACAAUAAUCCAAAAUAAAGUUCUUUAAAAACCCACUGUAGUCCCCUAACCUCUAACAUCAGAUACUUUUAAUUGAAAAUAUUUUCUAUGUGCCCAGGAUGAUUUGAGAAAACUGCAAGUGCAAGGAUUUUUUUUUUUUUUUUGAGAGAAAAUGAAAAUAAGUCUAGGUAGGCAGGCAUUUUCCAUUAGCCCCAAAGAAAUAGGACACCAAGCAGUGUUUUCACUUUUAAGAACCUGGAGGAGGCUGGCUGUAGAAAAGCUCGAGUGGUCACGUGCAGGUGAGUAUUAGUCUUUCUGCACGGGUGGUACAAGACCUCCUCCCGGCCAUGAUGUGACCUUGACCUGAGGGGCCCUUCUCAGGUCCUCCGCCACGUGACAGCAAGGGAGUCCACGUGUGUCUACAGAAAAAAAACAGUAUUGGGCUUGGCUGCGCCAGCCUUGCCCUGACCCGCCUCUGGGCACGGGUGUGGGUGUGGGUUCUGUCUGAGCAGGGCCAUUAGCAUGUUUCUCCUGCCAUGUCUCAUCCCUGGUUUCUGGGUCAUUUGAGACCAGCUUUCUGUGUUUGUUAACAGAUCUUAAAGGCCAUAGAAAAUAAUGAAGAGUACUUUUUGGUUGUAAACGCAGAAGGAAAGUAGACUUAUUAGUAUUUGAAAGGAAUAUCAAAUUAAAAUAUACUAUUUUCUGUAUUUAUUAAAUUGAGAAUAAUCUCAUGAUAAAUGAAGAGGCAAAAUAGUACUUUGAUAACAUUUUUACGGGGUU